rnacentral:lncRNA from 10 species
AGAAGUUGCCCCAGACCAUGAGCCUCCCCACUGAUAAAGCAAGCCGACUCAGUUUUUCAGCCUCUCAGGGAGCCUGCAGUGGUGAUCAAGUUUCUUCAAAGGGUCUGUGGAUUCUCUCAGAUUUUCUGAUAUGUUCCUGGCAUAGUCCUUGGAACAAAAGUUCAUAAGGUGGGUCCUGACGGUCAAAUGCACUUCUAUCAUGGAAGCUGUGCUGAGAACAGUGUUACUACGAUGUCAUUGUACAGUAGUACAUAAUUUGGUAGUUGGAUAAUGGUAUUUAUAUUGGGACUUGAUACAAAAGUAAGCAUUUUAGAUUUGGCUCCAAACAUCUUCUAAGGAAACCA